rnacentral:rRNA from 1 species
CCGUUAGCCCAUGUGUCUGGGAUAACUGCUGGAAACGGUAGCUAAAACCGGAUAGGUAUACAGAGCGCAUGCUCAGUAUAUUAAAGCGCCCAUCAAGGCGUGAACAUGGAUGGACCUGCGGCGCAUUAGCUAGUUGGUGAGGUAACGGCCCACCAAGGCGAUGAUGCGUAGCCGGCCUGAGAGGGUGACCGGCCACACUGGGACUGAGACACGGCCCAG